GACGAACGCUGGCGGCGUGCUUAACACAUGCAAGUCGUACGGUAAGGCCCUUUCGGGGGUACACGAGUGGCGAACGGGUGAGUAACACGUGAGUAACCUGCCCACAACUUUGGGAUAACGCUAGGAAACUGGUGCUAAUACUGGAUAUGUGCUACUGCUGCAUGGUGGGGGUUGGAAAGCUCCGGCGGUUGUGGAUGGACUCGCGGCCUAUCAGCUUGUUGGUGGGGUAGUGGCCUACCAAGGCGGCGACGGGUAGCCGGCCUGUGAGGGUGACCGGCCACAUUGGGACUGAGAGACGGCCCAGACGCCGACGGGAGGCAGCAGUGGGGAAUAUUGCACAAUGGGCGCCAGCCUGAUGCAGCAACGCCGCGUGCGGGAUGACGGCCUUCGGGUUGUAAACCGCUUUCAGCAGGGACGAAGCUUUUUGUGACGGUACCUGCAGAAGAAGCACCGGCUAACUACGCG
rnacentral:rRNA from 1 species